GGAACAUCUGCACGUCGGUGGCAUAAAAGAAACUGAAGUCAGCAUUAGGGUACCAUGUAAUAUUGGAUGAAUACAUUUACUUGAAUGGGGCAGAGGAGUGGCAACUAAAUAUGCAAGUGUAUUUUUAAAUCUUUAACUAAACUGGAAUAUACUAUUUAAUAAUAAAUUAUUUUUCUAUGUUUUUAUUUGUGAACAACUAAAUUGUGUCUCGGUAGAGAACCACCCUCAAUAGCUAUGGUUGUUAUAGGGUUAAUAUAGGGUUAAAAUGUUGAGUUAAAGUAAGUCAUUGCAUUGGGAAGGUUAAAAAAAAAAAGCCUUUACACAACUUUGUUAAAACAAGAACAAAGAGUCCAUGGAAAGCACCAGGUGUGACAUGGAAAAGAUAAGGAACAAACUCUUCUGUGUACAUAUCACUCUUAGAUUAUUUAAUGACUCGAAAGAUGACCUCCACGGAAAGGUGUGGCAUGAAAGUGAGCAUGAAACAGAACACUAAUCAUAUAUUUCAGCAACUCUGAUUUCCAGUGGGCUGGGCCCUGGCGCUGACAGUCAACGUGUCCAUUGUAAGACAGGUUUAUUUCUUGCGUAAGUUUACCAUUAUCUUGGAAGCCCUGGUUAUUGGCAAGGCACCCUCUGCCUACUGCCCUCCCUGAUUUCCUUUCUUUCUUUUUUCUCCCCUCUGUAAGACACAGAUAUAUGGUCUGACUUCUGAAGGGCUGUGGGCUUUCCCCGUGUUGUGAUUUUUCUCUGGCCCCCACAAUUAGGUAAUCAUUUAUUAGUCCUUGUCUUGUAAUUGAGAUGCAGGUUAUAAUUCCCCUUGGCUUUCAUGAUGACUUCCUACACCUACCUUCUCCACCUCUUUAUAUCACAAGAUUAAAGCAUUAAGGAAGUUCAAGCAAUGUAAUAAAAUCUGGAAUUAAUUAACGGCACUGAAGAUGAUUAUAUUAUGAAUUAAGUAGUUCCUACUCAGCACACUCUAACUACCGUAAUAAAUAAACACAUAAAAAUGCAGUUUUCAGGGGGUUUAAUUUUCAAAAGAGCCUUCACUAAUUCUAUUAAUAUUUAUUGGGUCCUAUCAGUACCUAUUGAAUCUAACCUCAUUCAUUCUGAUUAGAAAUGUCUUUGCUUUCACAAUAAAAUAAAUUUAUUGGUGACAGAAUAAAGAAAUCCUAUGCUACCCUCAAGAUCUCAUUGUGAUAAGCAUUUAUUGAGUAUCUAAUAUGAA
rnacentral:lncRNA from 1 species